CCUCCUGUGUGAACUUCACACCAAAGCCACCUGGCAGUUACCUCGGGGGCAUGGUAGGAGAUGCACUGGAAGAUCCAAUCCAUGGCAGAAAAAACACAGAAAGUUUCCCAUGUCGCCAAGCUGAGCUGUUUUGGGAACACGCGCCGCGCAGAGAAGUAACCUGACAAAAAUGGACCCAGCAGAUGUGAGGAAGAAAGGCUGAUCAACUAGAGACAUUUCCUGUUAACACAUGCAUAUUAAUUCUCCCCACUUCCUCAGUACAAUCAACACAUUUUAAUUAUCUGUAACAAACGCGAGUACAAUUUUGUGGGGUUUACACAUUUAAAGAGCUUUAAGGCAAUCUCAA